GAAGUGUGGACGCCAGUCUGCAUGGAGCCGACCUUGAAAUACCACCCUUUAAUGUUUGAUGUUCUAACGUUGGCCCCUGAUCGGGGUUGCGGACAGUGUCUGGUGGGUAGUUUGACUGGGGCGGUCUCCUCCUAAAGAGUAACGGAGGAGCACGAAGGUUGGCUAAUCCUGGUCGGACAUCAGGAGGUUAGUGCAAUGGCAUAAGCCAGCUUGACUGCGAGCGUGACGGCGCGAGCAGGUGCGAAAGCAGGUCAUAGUGAUCCGGUGGUUCUGAAUGGAAGGGCCAUCGCUCAACGGAUAAAAGGUACUCCGGGGAUAACAGGCUGAUACCGCCCAAGAGUUCAUAUCGACGGCGGUGUUUGGCACCUCGAUGUCGGCUCAUCACAUCCUGGGGCUGAAGUAGGUCCCAAGGGUAUGGCUGUUCGCCAUUUAAAGUGGUACGCGAGCUGGGUUUAGAACGUCGUGAGACAGUUCGGUCCCUAUCUGCCGUGGGCGCUGGAGAACUGAGGGGGGCUGCUCCUAGUACGAGAGGACCGGAGUGGACGCAUCACUGGUGUUCGGGUUGUCAUGCCAAUGGCACUGCCCGGUAGCUAAAUGCGGAAGAGAUAAGUGCUGAAAGCAUCUAAGCACGAAACUUGCCCCGAGAUGAGUUCUCCCUGACUCCUUGAGAGUCCUGAAGGAACGUUGAAGACGACGACGUUGAUAGGCCGGGUGUGUAAGCGCAGCGAUGCGUUGAGCUAACCGGUACUAAUGAACCGUGAGG
rnacentral:rRNA from 1 species